rnacentral:rRNA from 1 species
UACGUAGGGGGCUAGCGUUGUCCGGAUUUAUUGGGCGUAAAGAGCGUGUAGGCGGCCAUGUAGGUCCGGUGUGAAAACUCGAGGCUUAACCUCGAGAUGUCAUCGGAAACCAUUUGGCUAGAGUCCGGAAGAGGAGAGUGGAAUUCCUGGUGUAGCGGUGAAAUGCGCAGAUAUCAGGAGGAACACCGGUGGCGAAGGCGGGUCACUGGACCGGUUCUGACGCUGAUGCGCGAAAGCGUGGGGAGCAAACGGG